rnacentral:rRNA from 1 species
AUUGAACGCUGGCGGCAUGCCUUACACAUGCAAGUCGAACGGAUCAGGGGAGCUUGCUCUUCUGGUUAGUGGCGAACGGGUGAGUAAUGCAUCGGAACGUACCCAGUAGUGGGGGAUAACGUAGCGAAAGUUACGCUAAUACCGCAUACGACCUGAGGGUGAAAGCAGGGGAUCGCAAGACCUUGCGCUAUUGGAGCGGCCGAUGUCGGAUUAGCUAGUUGGUAGGGUAAAAGCCUACCAAGGCGACGAUCCGUAGCUGGUCUGAGAGGACGACCAGCCACACUGGGACUGGGACACGGCCCAGACUCCUACGGGAGGCAGCAGUGGGGAAUUUUGGACAAUGGGGGAAACCCUGAUCCAGCCAUGCCGCGUGAGUGAAGAAGGCCUUCGGGUUGUAAAGCUCUUUCAGACGGAAAGAAAUCUUCCGGGCUAAUACCUCAGGAGGAUGACGGUACCGUAAGAAGAAGCACCGGCUAACUACGUGCCAGCCGCCGCCGUAA